UACAGAGGUCCCAAGCGUUGUUCGGAUUCAUUGGCGUAAAGGGUACGUAGGUGGCGCCGUAAGUCGGGUGUUGAAAUUUCGGAUGCUUAACUCCGAAACCUGGCAUUCAGUAGUACUGCGGUGCUUGAGGACUGGAGAGGAGACUGGAAUUCAUGGUGUAGCAGUGAAAUGCGUAGAGAUCAUGAGGAAGACCAGUGGCGAAGGCGGGUCUCUGGACAGUUCCUGACACUGAGACACGAAGGCCAGGGGAGCAAACGGG
rnacentral:rRNA from 1 species